GUCCACGCCGUAACGAUGAGUACUGGGUGUCGCGGUAGUUGACCCUGCGGUGCCGUAGCUAACGCGUUAAGUACUCCGCCUGGGAUUACGGUCGCAAGAUUAAACUCAAAGGAAUUGACGGGGCCCGCACAAGCGGUGGAGCAUGUGGUUUAAUUCGACGCAACGCGAAGAACCUUACCUGGGCUAGACAACGGUGGACCUCCCCAGAGAUGGGGCUUUCCCUUCGGGGACUGCCGGUUCAGGUGCUGCAUGGCUGUCGU
rnacentral:rRNA from 1 species